UAACUGCGAAAACCAGCUGCUGAAUGAACAAUAUGGUAAUCGCUAUCAGUAGGCGUGCCAUGGAGGGAUCCUUGUUAUCGGCAUUUCUCCUUUUCCUGAUGCGCCAUCGCCUGUCGAUCACCGUGGCAUAUAUAGCACGCAGGAAACCGAAGUACGACCUCCUGAUAUACUUUAACUUCUCGUUCAGAGAUACAUCGAAGACCCUGCAGGUCAGAGUUCCCAGUUAGACCAUGUGUGUCCUAAGGCAAGGGUUCAACUUCAUUGCACUCACACCGGAGGAGAACGGGCUCCUCAUUGCUCCCUUCCCAGAGAAGAAAGUACGCGAGGCCAUGUCUUAGAUGGAACACAACAAAUCUUUGGGGCCAAAAGGAUUCCUACCGAGUUUUAUCAAAAGUUUUGGGAGGUCAUUAAAGGGGACUCGUUGCAACCCUUCACUCAUCUACACCAAGGGUAAACACCCUUGUUCGGCUGAAUUUGGGCCGAUUAUGCUACUGCCCAAGAAAGGCGUGACGUGCAAUUUCAGCAGUAUCAUCCUAUUUGCCUCCUAAGUAUGAGCAUUAAAUUUAUCAGUAAGGUCAUCACAAAUCGUAUUGCAGAAACCGUCCACAACUUUAUCUGUCCAACUGAAUGAGCUUUCGUGCCGAUCUGACACAUCCUUGAGGCUUUGUUCGGUUAAUCCCAUCGGUGGAUUGGAGAGGAUUUGCAGGGAUUUUGGCUUGUAGGGGAUUAAUUCUCUCUCAAUCCCCUUCAAAUCCAUCUCAACCGAACAAGCCGUGAGGGGGUUAAUAGUUUUAUUAUAGGAAACCAUACAUGAGCUUCACAUUAAGAAGCUAGAUGGAGCGAUUUUUAUGGUUAACUUUGAUAAGGUGCAGUGUACUUCCCAACAACAGACUUUGUGUAUGAAGGGGUUCACACUACAGUGGUGCCACUAGAUUGCACGAUUUGUCCAAGGUGCGAGUGUGAGCAUCGCUGUGAAUAAUGGUGUUACUAUCGCACAAUUUUAGAGUUGCAGUAUGUGCACUUUGGCAUUUUAAGGUGUGCGUCCUCGUUGUGUUUGUAUUGGAGACAUUGUAUCUGUAUGUUCUCUUUUACAAACUCGGUUUUUAGUGAACUUCCUGGUUAGUGAUCUAGUAUAGGUUGGAUUUUUGUAGGUUUGCAGAGUGAACAUCUGAUUUUUAUUCUAUAUAGUGAACUAUUGUAGAUUGUAUGUAAA